GUGAAUUGUACGAGGAUGAGUCUUCUACUGGGCCGUCUGCUACUUUUGUUCCUCCAUGCCCUCUCAACUUGGUGUGUUUCAUCAGGCACAUUUGUUGUGACACAGAGUCCUCAUGUUUCUGUCAUGGAGGGUGAGACAGUAAACAUCACCUGCUGCUGGACAGGGAAGUUUGAAAGAUUUAGAGUGAACUGGCUUAAAAAUCAAACAGAAAUUAGGAGUGAUCAGCCUAAUGUGUUUCUGAAAAAGGAAGAGAAGAAUUGUUCAUCUUUGAAUAUCUCAAAUGUUAGAACAGAGGAUUCAGGGACGUACAUCUGCAGGGUGACUGUGGAGAUACCAUCUUUAACUGAGGCUGAAGGAAAUGGGACAGUCAUCACAGUCAAGACGAUGGGAAGAAGUGGGACAUUCGACAUUCAAGACAAAAGAAAUCGUGAAGAAGUGAAAAAAGUGAAGAAUGAUGACAACACAGAUCAGCAUAUUGCUCGAGAAGCCCCAAAGGAAGAAGUAUUCACUUAUCUCAUGAGGACUCUGCCCGUCCUCGCCUUGAUCACAGCCUUCUUCUGGCUCUACUAUGUAGGGAACAAAGCUCAGCAGAACUCAAAAGCUUCUUCUGGAAAUAAACCAACUUCAAGUCAAAAACAAGAGCAAGACGAGGAAGAGGAAGAAAGAGAUGGAAGAGCAGUAGAAGCAGCAAAUGAAUGUUAGAUAAAAGUGUCUGAUAAUGAAAUCUGAUUACAAAUAGAAGAACUGUAUUCUUUCGUUACCGAUCAGUUAAGAGUAUGUAUAGUUUUAUUCUUCAUUCAUUCAAAACAACAAAUGUUAGCACAACAAAAAGUGACUGCACAUGUAAAUAGAUUGAAAAGUGAAUAAUACCACAACGCAUGAGAAGUAAAGUGGGUAGAUGGUGUCUGUGUGGAAGUAUUGUGUCCAAGUGACACUUGUCAGUUGACUUUUGAUUCAGUGUGAAAGGUUUAUCCUGUGCCCUCACAUCUUGAAGUAAGUAAAAAAAACCUCUUUGCUUUCAGAUUUGUUCCUAUACUUUGUUUUCAUGUUCAGUUAAACUUCAGGUAAUUCUGCCAUUAAGCUACUAAAAAGAUUGGAAUAAAAUGUUUCUGUGUUUUCUUGCACAUGUUUUAACGGCACAUUUGUUGUGACCCAUACUCCAAAUAUGUCUGUUCUACUGGAGAGAAGUCUGACAGAGUGAGUGUGAACUAGCUAAAUAAGACAAAGGAAAUGGUUGACAUCACAAUUAUAAAGAUGGUAAUACAGAUAAGCUUGUUGCUGGGGGUAGGUAACAAAAUGUCCUGCCAUACUUCAUGUUGAUACCGUCCCAUUAUGGACUGUAUGAUAUUAUCUUGCUAGUAGUAAAAGUCCGAAAAGCUCCACUUGAAAUGAGCAAAAACCCAUAAAAAUCUAGGCUGAGCAACUGAUCCUGUUUACAGUUUUAGGAUUAUUGUAUCUGUACAAAGUUAUAGACCUGAUCUCAAAGAAGUCUUCUUUAGCAACUGAAGAAAAUACAGUAUUUAAGAGCUGCUACACCCUGUGCAGCUAUAUCAGUGUCAUCCAUGCUUGUUGCCACUUUUAUGUUUUACUUUGCAGAUCACAUUAGCUAAGUCUGCUAAAAACUGAACCACAGACUUGCUUCACCAGUAAGUAUGAGAGCUGAUGGCUAGAGUCUGUAAGGUGUAAGGUCCAGCCAAUUGGAGCACUGGGGCUAGCAGUUGUUACAAUGUAGCAGUGCCUUUCAAUCGUGUUUUCAUCUAACAAGAAGCAGUUCUUGCUACCUGGUAGUGAAUAACUUGUGUUUACCUCAUCAGAUGAAUUUCCCAGGUAGACAUGUUCAUUUCAGUCCUUAGACUCUACCUAUCCUUACCCUCAGCACAGCUUUCCUCCACCUAUGUAAGGAACAAAAAGCCACAUAGGGCUGAAAAGAAGCUAGUUUUCAAUAUCAAAGUGUAAAUGGAACAUUUAUUUAUUUACUUUCUUUAGCCUUCCAUCUGUAGCACUAAAUGUCUGUCCUUUAACUAUUUGCUCAAAACAGUAUGAUUUUGCUGUUAUGAAGAAUUCAGCGAAGCGAAGGAAGAUAAGCUGUGGCUUUGAACUCUGCAAAAACUGAGAAAGACGAGACUAAUCUGAGCUUUGGAUGCCAAUGUUUGGUGUGAAUAAUUUGACCACAGAUGUAGGUGUCAGUUGCUAUUGUUGGUUCAGUGUGAAGGAAUGAAGCUUUUAUUAAGUGGCCUGCUGUUUUCCUGUAUAUGCAUCCUCUCUUGGGGUAAGUAAAAAAAACCUCGUGCAUUUUCUUUUCUCUGCUUGUUUCAGAAUUUUAUAAAUCAUUUAUAACGACUAGUAGUUCGGUCAGGUACUAUUUAGCUGUAGUAGUGUUAAGGCUCAAUUUUACAACUUAUUUUUCUGUAUUUCUUUGUAAAAUAUUGAACAAUUUUACGUCUGUAUGUCCAGUGUGAUCUGUGACCUCCAGUAUAUGUUUUUCUAUCCAGGUACUAUUUUACUGUGUUUGCAGUGUGUUUGGAAUCAUUGUAAUGCUGAAAAAUGAAACUGUUGUCAGUCAGACACAUUUCAGAUGGUACUGCAUAAUUGUUGGUACUUUUCUACAUUUAGAAUGAUUAUAUAUCGUAAUGAUUUGUCCUUUGCAAAGUUGUCUGUUAUGUGUAGACAUAACACUUGUGUCAUGUUUGUGUGCGGUGUUCAAGGGAUUCAAAGGUCAGUAUUAAGUGGCUCAACAAAAUAAAAGCUAAACAAAACAAAUAAAAAAACAAACAACAUUCACCUGAAAAUGGCCAGAUAUGAGGACUGGACUGAAAAAAAUUUAAUGAACUUAAAAGGAAAGAAGAAAAACUUUGAACUGUUGCUAAGACUGAGGCAUGCCUCGAGUGUUUUGCACAGUACUGUACAAUGUUGUUUGGUUUUUGUUCUUUGUUUUCUGUGUCGUUGUUUGUGCAGCUUGUCAGUCAUCCAGGUCAUGGGAGUACUGUCGUAUUUCAAAUGCAGUUUCAUCAGCCUGAAACACACUGGCUGUUCAAAUGUCUUGCUUACCUCAUGGCACACAGGUUGAGAACUACUGGUCCACCAAACAAUAAAUCUAAAUGCUAAAGGCUAUCAAUUGAAAUGUUAUAGCUUUAAGUUGCUCAGCUUUUGUUCCAUUACUGGGAGAGGGAACAGCGGUGAUGGCUGCUACUAAGUUUCCAGGAAGUUGGAUUGUUAGCAUGGUAACCCUGUAAUUUAAGGUGAUCAGAUGAACUCUAUCUACUAAAUGCCAGCUUGACAGCAUUUAGCUCAAUUCAGUGCUGUACUAACUUUCAAAUUCACACAGAGUACAGCUAUGCUAGUAGCUCUUAACAGCAUAUCCUACAAAACACAGACUGUAUAUAAGAUGGAUUUAUAUUCUGAUAAUUUUAAGUGGGUUUUCAUUAGAUAAGUUGAAACUAUAGGUGAUGGGGAACUAGUAUUUUCUUGGUACCCAUGCUUAAAGGUAGUGUGUAAAAUCUCACCAUAGGUGUCAGUAGAUUGCACAUUGAAGUGAGUUCUGUUUUCUUACAAGUCUAUGAGAAUGCAUCAAAUUCUUGGAAAAUGUUACUCCACAGUAGACCAUGUAUAUUUAUCAGUGCAAUAUUCAUUUGAACCAUAAUAUCCUCAAAAUAUUUCUGACUCACUAGCGCUUUGAGGGCUCCUGUUACAAAAUAACGUUGCAAUUGUUACUGUACGUUCUAAAACUGAUACAAUUGAUAACACUUUAAAUAGCAUUAUAACUUUAGUAAAAUACAUGCAUUUACAUUGUUUUAUGUUGUCACUGCAGUGUUACAAUAAAGUCUUUUGUGACUAUUAUGUUUUUCACUUUCUUAUUCAUGCCUAUCCUGUUGCUCACUGAUGAGGUUUUGGCACUGAAAACUACUCAGCAUGUAAAGCAUGUAGUGUGUUGUCACUUUAACAGAGCCAAUCAGGGGAAUUCACAGCACACUCUAAAUAACAACUCAGGUUUUUCUCUGCUUGGACUGACCCAGGCUGUGAGAGCUAGUGUGACUGGCUGCUUUGCGGUCUGGCUCAGCUCCCAACAUGCAAUGGCACGUAUGCAGCAACUGUGCCAAUCAGCUCCACCCAGCACCACAAACUGCUCCACCUUUCCUCCUGCAGGCAAAACAACAAACCACUAUCUCAGUUAGGUUUAAGCAUAGAUGCUAAAAGACACCUUGUGCUUAUGUAAGCCGCACUGUUUGAAAAUAUGUGACACCCUCAGAAUGAGACUGUGAUGGGGUAAUAGAAAUCUCUAGUAUUUAUUUUUUACGACUCUUGGUUAUCUUAAACUUCUUUCAGUAACCAUGGGUUACAAUAGUGACCAACACUUCUGAUGUGUGUGCCUGCAGCACUGCUGACAUUUCAUCCUGUUCUCGUUCUGUGUCUCAGUGUCGCAUCUGACAUUUUAAACUCUGGGGACUUCUAGUGGCUAACACACAGCAGUGUUUAACAUAUUCGCUUUACACAUGAAAGGAUCCUGGUUUGAAUCUGAGAGCAGGUACAAAACCAACCUUGACGGGUCACAUGCUAGUGCAAGUCCCAAGCCUGGAUAAAAAGAAUGGUUGUGUCAGGGAGAGCAUCAGGUGUAAAAUCAAAACAUGUGGAUGUGUCGACUGCUUCAACCCCUUGGGAAACAUAGUAGCAGCAAAAAGUAGCUUCAGACUCUGAGGACUUCACAGAAUGACAAUUCACGUCAUUUAUGAACUCUCAUUUCACGUUAUCAGGUGACCUACAUCAACUUCCUCCCGGAUGUUUUCAACAAAAUAAUAAUAAUAAUAGAACAAAAGCUAUACCACUACAAUAAUCUGGCAACGUAAAACCCCCAAAAUAGUGCAGUUAAAAGAAUUAAAUAAAAUAUUAAAAUAAAUUAAUGUUAACAUGUAAACUUUGUAUGUAUGCAUGUGUGUAAACUUACAAAGAUUGACUUUCAAACAAUUUUAAUGACAAUUCUUGAACAAAAAUACAGUUUAUUACAUUAUCUGUCCUUAAUAUGUAUUUUAUUGUGACCCCAUUUCAGCAUCUCUGCAUGAGGAUAAAAAAAGUGUCCUUUUCAGUCGGAAGAGAAAGGUCUGAGUCUUAGUCACAGCUUCUGUAGUUUGUCUGUAGCUGUCGUCUGUCUGAAGGAGGAAGCAGCAGCAUCUGUGGGUUUUCACACUUCUCUAGAAAACAGAAGAUCUUUGAAGAAAACAUGGUGCACAGACUGUGGUUGUGUGUGUGUAUAUGUGUGUGUGUGUGUGUGUGUGUGUGUGUGUG